GGGGAAUAUUGCACAAUGGGGGAAACCCUGAUGCAGCAACGCCGCGUGAGUGAUGAAGGUCUUCGGAUUGUAAAGCUCUGUCUUUAGGGACGAUAAUGACGGUACCUAAGGAGGAAGCCACGGCUAACUACGUGCCAGCAGCCGCGGUAAUACGUAGGUGGCAAGCGUUAUCCGGAUUUACUGGGCGUAAAGGGAGCGUAGGCGGAUAUUUAAGUGGGAUGUGAAAUACCCGAGCUUAACUUGGGAGCUGCAUUCCAAACUGGAUAUCUAGAGUGCAGGAGAGGAGAAUGGAAUUCCUAGUGUAGCGGUGAAAUGCGUAGAGAUUAGGAAGAACACCAGUGGCGAAGGCGAUUCUCUGGACUGUAACUGACGCUGAGGCUCGAAAGCGUGGGGAGCAAAC
rnacentral:rRNA from 1 species